rnacentral:rRNA from 1 species
CCUACGGGUGGCAGCAGUGAGGAAUAUUGGUCAAUGGCCGAGAGGCUGAACCAGCCAAGUCGCGUGAGGGAAGACGGCCCUACGGGUUGUAAACCUCUUUUGUCGGGGAGCAAAGCGAGUCACGUGUGACUCAUUGAGAGUACCCGAAGAAAAAGCAUCGGCUAACUCCGUGCCAGCAGCCGCGGUAAUACGGAGGAUGCAAGCGUUGUCCGGAUUUACUGGGUGUAAAGGGCGUGUAGCCGGGUUGACAAGUCAGAUGUGAAAUCCUGCGGCUUAACCGCAGAACUGCAUUUGAAACUGUUGAUCUUGAGUACUGGAGAGGCAGACGGAAUUCCUAGUGUAGCGGUGAAAUGCGUAGAUAUUAGGAGGAACACCAGUGGCGAAGGCGGUCUGCUGGACAGCAACUGACGGUGAGGCGCGAAAGCGUGGGGAGCAAACAGGAUUAGAUACCCGAGUAGUC